UCCCUGGUGGCUCAUAGGUUAAAGCAUCUGCCUGGAAUGCAGGAGACCCGGGCUUGAUCCCUGGGUCAAGGAA
rnacentral:tRNA from 1 species